GAAGUUUAUUUGACUGAUGGAACUGAGAAGAGACAGCAGCAGAAGCCUUUCUCUGAUCUCUCCAGUGCUGGAGCUGGAUGUGUCGACUACUGCUGACUGACUCAGCUCCCUCCUACAUAUGCCAGCAGGAAUAAAUUAUUGGAUGAUGAACUCUGGGGCUGUCAGAGAGAGACAAGCAAAUAACUAA